rnacentral:tRNA from 1 species
CGUGUUGCUGGUGGAGCUGGAAGAGCCGGACGACGCCAUGAAUGUCGCGGUCAAGCAGGUCAACCUGAUGGCCAGGCCGUUCCGCGUGGCCGAGCACGACC